rnacentral:miRNA from 1 species
AAUGCAGCAUGAUUUUUUUUU